rnacentral:rRNA from 1 species
UAAGGAAUAUUGCUCAAUGGGAGAAAUCCUGAAGCAGCAACGCCGCGUGGAGGAUGAAGGGUCUAUGACUUGUAAACUCCUGUAAAGAAGGAAAAAAUUCCCAUUUGAUGGGAGAUGAUGGUACUUCUGGAGUAAGCCCCGGCUAACUACGUGCCAGCAGCCGCGGUCACACGUAGGGGGCAAGCGUUGUCCGGAUUUACUGGGUGUAAAGGGUGCUCAGGCGGAUUUGUAAGUCAGAGGUGAAAUCUUACAGCUUAACUGUGAAACUGCCUUUGAUACUGCAAGCCUAGAGUAUGGAAGAGAGUGAUGGAAUAUCUGGUGUAGCAGUGAAAUGCGUAGAUAUCAGAUAGAACACCAAUGGCGAAGGCAGUCACUUGGUCCAUUACUGACGCUAAAGCACGAAAGCGUGGGUAGCAAA